GAUGAACGCUGGCGGCGUGCUUAACACAUGCAAGUCGAACGAAGCACCUUGAUUUGAUUCUUCGGAUGAAGAUCUUGGUGACUGAGUGGCGGACGGGUGAGUAACGCGUGGGUAACCUGCCUCAUACAGGGGGAUAACAGGUAGAAAUGACUGCUAAUACCGCAUAAGACCACAGCACCGCAUGGUGCAGUGGUAAAAACUCCGGUGGUAUGGGAUGGACCCGCGUCUGAUGAGGUAGUCGGUGGGGUAACGGCCUACCAAGCCGACGAUCAGUAGCCGACCUGUGAGGGUGACCCGCCACAUUGGGACUGAGACACGGCCCAAACUCCUACGGGAGGCAGGCGUGGGGAAUAUUGCACAAUGGGGGAAACCCUGAUGCAGCGACGCCUCGUGAGCGAUGAAGUAUUUCGGUAUGUAAAGCUCUAUCAGCAGGGAAGACAAUGACGGUACCUGACGAAGAAGCACCGGCUAAAUACGUG
rnacentral:rRNA from 1 species